rnacentral:rRNA from 1 species
AAUAUUGGACAAGGUGGGCAACCCUGAUCCAGCCAUGCCUCGUGUGUGAAGAAGGUCUUCGGUUUGUAAAGCACUUCAUGUAGGGAGGAAGGGCUUUAGGCUACUACGCUGAAGUUCUGACGUUACCAACUGUAUAAGUACCGGCUAACUCUGUGCCAGCAUCCGCGGUAAUACAUAGGGUGCAAGCGUUAAUCGGAAUUACUGGGCGUAAAGCGCGCGUAGGUGGUUCAGUAAGAUGGGUGUGAAAUCCCCGGGCUUAACCUGGGAACUGCUUUCAUAACUGCUGAGCUAGAGUACGGUAGAGGGUAGUGGAAUUUCCUGUGUAGCGGUGAAAUGCGUAGAUAUAGGAAGGAACACCAGUGGCGAAGGCGACUACCUGGACUGAUACUGACACUGAGGUGCGAAAGCGUGGGGAGCAAAC